rnacentral:rRNA from 1 species
UACGUAGGGGGCAAGCGUUGUCCGGAUUUAUUGGGCGUAAAGAGCGUGUAGGCGGCCUUACAGGUCAGCUGUGAAAACUCGAGGCUCAACCUCGAGAGGUCGGUUGAAACCGUAAGGCUAGAGUCCGGAAGAGGAGAGUGGAAUUCCCGGUGUAGCGGUGAAAUGCGUAGAUAUCGAGAGGAACACCUGCGGCGAAGGCGGGUUGCUGGGCUGACACUGACGCUGAAGCGCGAAAGCUAGGGGAGCGAACGGG